GAUGAACGCUGGCGGCGUGCCUAAUACAUGCAAGUAGAACGCACAGUUUAUACCCUUGCUUGCUACACCAUAGCCUGUGAGUUGCGAACGGGUGAGUAACGCGUAGCUAACCUGCCUGGUAGCACGUGAGAACUAUUGGAAACGAUCGCUAAAAUCUCAUAAUCUUGAUUAUUCCAUGAUAAUUGAUUGAAAUAUUCUCUCGCAUCACUACCACAUCGCCCUGCGUUGUAUUAGCUAGUAGGUGAGGUAACGGAUCAACUAGGCGAAGAUACAUAUCCGACCUGAGAGGGUGGUCGGCCACACUGGGACUUGGACACGGGCCAGACCCCUACGGGAGGGAGCAGGAGGGGAUCUUCGGGAAUGGACGGAAGGCUGGCCGAGCAACGGCGGGGUAGGGGAGAAGGUUCUCGGAUCGGAAAGCUCCGUUGUAAGGGGAGAAAGGGUGUGGGAAUGGACAGUUCACACCGUGACGGUAUCUAACCAGAAAGGGACGGCUAACUACGUG
rnacentral:rRNA from 1 species